GUGGGGAAUAUUGGGCAAUGGGCGCAAGCCUGACCCAGCAACGCCGCGUGAAGGAAGAAGGCUUUCGGGUUGUAAACUUCUUUUACCAGGGAUGAAACAAAUGACGGUACCUGGUGAAUAAGCCACGGCUAACUACGUGCCAGCAGCCGCGGUAAUACGUAGGUGGCGAGCGUUAUCCGGAUUUAUUGGGUGUAAAGGGCGUGUAGGCGGGACAGCAAGUCAGAUGUGAAAACCAGAGGCUCAACCUCUGGCCUGCAUUUGAAACUGUUGUUCUUGAGUGUCGGAGAGGUAAUCGGAAUUCCGUGUGUAGCGGUGAAAUGCGUAGAUAUACGGAGGAACACCAGUGGCGAAGGCGGAUUACUGGACGAUAACUGACGCUGAGGCGCGAAAGCGUGGGGAGCAAACAGGAUUAGAAACCCCUGUAGUCC
rnacentral:rRNA from 1 species